GAGGGUAGAGCUCAGUGGUAGAGUGCGUGCUUAGCAUGCACAAGGUCCUGGGAUCCAUCCCCAGCACCUCUG
rnacentral:tRNA from 1 species